GACACGGCUGGCGGCGUGCCUAACACAUGCAAGUCGAGCGGAGUCGAUCGACGGAAGCCUUCGGGCGGAAGAUGGUUGACUUAGCGGCGGAUGGGUGAGUAACGCGUGGGCAACCUGCCUCGAAGACCGGGAUAACAGCCCGAAAGGGCUGCUAAUACCGGAUGUGGUCAAAGAUCCGCAUGGAUUUUGAUUAAAGGGGAAACCCGUUUCGAGAUGGGCCCGCGUCCUAUCAGCUAGUUGGUGAGGUAAAAGCUCACCAAGGCGACGACGGGUAGCCGGCCUGAGAGGGUGACCGGCCACACUGGAACUGAGACACGGUCCAGACUCCUACGGGGGGCAGCAGUGGGGAAUCUUCCACAAUGGGCGAAAGCCUGAUGGAGCGACGCCGCGUGAGCGAAGAAGGCCUUCGGGUUGUAAAGCUCUGUCUGGAGGGACGAAGGAAGUGACGGUACCUCCGGAGGAAGCCACGGCUAACUACGUG
rnacentral:rRNA from 1 species